GGAGGGCCCCGCUGCUGCCGCCGCCGCCGCCCCCCUCCUUGUCCGGCCUGGUGCCGUGGGGCUUGGCAGAGCGCCCCACACCGAGGCCUCGUACCUCUUCCAGAGAUGUAGCAAAUCGCAUGGAGUUUGUCUCGUCCCCAGUGGCCCAUCCAUGAGAGCUGGUAGUCUGUAGCAUGUCCCACAUGGCUGGGGAGGUGACUCCCUCCCCUCCUUAGUAUCACUAGCAUUAACUAAUUAAUCUCUUGGUUUUAAAUGAUUGGAAUUUAACCUGGUGCUGGGUAUCUCCAACUCGUAUCUAGUGCAGCUGAUUAACAAUAACUACUGUGUUCCUGGCAAUAUCGUGUUCUGAUGACUUCGCAAUGACCCAUCUUAGGUGGGGGGGAAAGAGACUAUUUUAUUUUCUAGUAGUUAGAUAAAUAGCUAUAUCCAUGUACUGUAGUUCUAUGUUGAUGUUCAUUGUAACUUUACUGAUCAUGCAUUGUUGAGGUGGUCUGAAUGUUCUGACAUAAGUUUUCCAUGAAAACGUUUUUAUUGUGUUUUUAAUUUAUUUAUUAAGAUGGAUUCUCAGAUAUUUAUAUUUUUAUUUUAUUUUUUUCUACCUUGAGGUCUUUUUUGACAUGUGGAAAGUGAAUUUGGAUGAAACUUAAGCAUUGUUUGCUUAUUAUUGUUCAGAGACAUUGUCAAUAAAAGCAUUUAAGUUGACUGCU